AUUGAACGCUGGCGGCAGGCCUAACACAUGCAAGUCGAGCGGCAGCGGGAAAGUAGCUUGCUACUUUUGCCGGCGAGCGGCGGACGGGUGAGUAAUGCCUGGGAAAUUGCCCAGUCGAGGGGGAUAACAGUUGGAAACGACUGCUAAUACCGCAUACGCCCUACGGGGGAAAGCAGGGGACCUUCGGGCCUUGCGCGAUUGGAUAUGCCCAGGUGGGAUUAGCUAGUUGGUGAGGUAAUGGCUCACCAAGGCGACGAUCCCUAGCUGGUCUGGGAGGAUGAGCAGCCACACUGGAACUGAGACACGGUCCAGACUCCUACGGGAGGCAGCAGUGGGAAUAUUGCACAAUGGGGGAGACCCUGAUGCAGCCAUGCCGCGUGUGUGAAGAAGGCCUUCGGGUUGUAAAGCACUUUCAGCGAGGAGGAAAGGUUGAUGCCUAAUACGUAUCAACUGUGACGUUACUCGCAGAAGAAGCACCGGCUAACUCCGUGCCAGCCGCCGCAGUAAAAC
rnacentral:rRNA from 1 species